GAUGAUCGCUAGCGGCAGGCUUAAUACAUGCAAGUCGAGGGGCAGCGCAGUGUAGCAAUACAUGGGCGGCGACCGGCAAACGGGUGCGGAACACGUACGCAACCUUCCUUUAAGUGGAGAAUAGCCCAGGGAAACUUGGAUUAAUACUUCGUAACAUUAUGAGAUGGCAUCAUCUUAUAAUUAUAGCUCCGGCGCUUAAAGAUGGGCGUGCGUCUGAUUAGGUAGUUGGCGGGGUAACGGCCCACCAAGCCUGCGAUCAGUAACUGGUGUGAGAGCACGACGAGUCACACGGGCACUGAGACACGGGCCCGACUCCUACGGGAGGCAGCAGUGGGGAAUUUUGGACAAUGGGCGCAAGCCUGAUCCAGCCAUUCCGCGUGCAGGAUGAAGGCCCUCGGGCUGUAAACUGCUUUUGUACGGAACGAAAAGGCUCUCGCUAAUACCGGGAGCUCAUGACGGUACCGUAAGAAUAAGCACCGGCUAACUACGUGCCAGCCGCCGCGGUAACAC
rnacentral:rRNA from 1 species